GACGAACGCUGGCGGCGUGCCUGACACAUGCAAGUCGGACGGUUCUUGUAUCUUCAAGCUUGCUUGCAGGUGCAAGGAUAGUGGCGGACGGGUGAGUAACGCGUGAACAUCUACCCAUUGGAGGGGGACAACCCGUCGAAAGGCGGGCUAAUACCGCGUAAGCCGCGAGGUGAGAGGCUGCCUAUUGGUGGCCGCCGAUGGAUGGGUUCGCGUCCUAUCAGCUGGUUGGUGGGGUAACGGCCUACCAAGGCGAAGACGGGUAGCCGGUCUGAGAGGAUGGCCGGCCACACUGGAACUGAGACACGGUCCAGACUCCUACGGGAGGCAGCAGUGGGGAAUAUUGGGCAAUGGGGGAGACCCUGACCCAGCGACGCCGCGUGAGGGAUGAAGGUUUUCGGAUCGUAAACCUCUGUUGUACGGGAAGAAGGAUGUGACGGUACCGUACGAGAAAGCCCCGGCAAACUACGUGCCAGCCAGCCGCGGUAAACUGUCUACG
rnacentral:rRNA from 1 species